AGAGUUUGAUCCUGGCUCAGGAUGAACGCUGGCGGCGUGCCUAACACAUGCAAGUCGAACGAAGCACUGUAAACGGAGAUUCGUCGAAGUUUACUUUGACUUAGUGGCGGACGGGUGAGUAAUGUAUGAGCAACCUGCCUUUCAGUGGGGGACAACAGUUGGAAACGACUGCUAAUACCGCAUGAUGUCAAUUGGGGGCAUCCCCAAAUGACCAAAGGAUUUAUUCGCUGAAAGAUGGGCUCAUAUCUGAUUAGCUAGUUGGUGAGGUAACGGCUCACCAAGGCUGCGAUCAGUAGCCGGACUGAGAGGUUGAACGGCCACAUUGGGACUGAGAUACGGCCCAGACUCCUACGGGAGGCAGCAGUGGGGAAUAUUGGGCAAUGGGCGAAAGCCUGACCCAGCAACGCCGCGUGAAGGAAGAAGGUCUUCGGAUUGUAAACUUCUUUUAUGAGGGACGAAGGACGUGACGGUACCUCAUGAAUAAGCCACGGCUAACUACGUGCCAGCAGCCGCGGUAAUACGUAGGUGGCAAGCGUUAUCCGGAUUUACUGGGUGUAAAGGGCGCGUAGGCGGGGAUGCAAGUCGGAUGUGAAAUCUAUGGGCUUAACCCAUAAACUGCAUUUGAAACUGUGUCUCUUGAGUGCUGGAGAGGUAGACGGAAUUCCUUGUGUAGCGGUGAAAUGCGUAGAUAUAAGGAAGAACACCAGUGGCGAAGGCGGUCUACUGGACAGUAACUGACGCUGAGGCGCGAGAGCGUGGGGAGCAAACAGGAUUAGAUACCCUGGUAGUCCACGCUGUAAACGAUGAAUACUAGGUGUGGGAGGACUGACCCCUUCCGUGCCGCAGUUAACACAAUAAGUAUUCCACCUGGGGAGUACGGCCGCAAGGUUGAAACUCAAAGGAGUUGACGGGGGCCCGCACAAGCGGAGGAACAUGUGGUUUAAUUCGAUGAUACGCGAGGAACCUUACCCGGGCUUGAAUUGCAGAGGAAGGAUUUAGAGAUAAUGACGCCCUUCGGGGCCUCUGUGAAGGUGCUGCAUGGUUGUCGUCAGCUCGUGCCGUGAGGUGUCGGCUUAAGUGCCAUAACGAGCGCAACCCCUCUCCGUAGUUGCCAUCGGGUGAUGCCGGGCACUCUGCGGACACUGCCACCGUAAGGUGUGAGGAAGGUGGGGAUGACGUCAAAUCAGCACGGCCCUUACGUCCGGGGCUACACACGUGUUACAAUGGGGCAUACAGAGCGCCGGCGGCCGGCAACGUCCGUCCAAUCGCGAAAGUGUCCCCCAGUUCGGACUGGGGUCUGCAACCCGACCCCACGAAGCUGGAUUCGCUAGUAAUCGCGCAUCAGCCAUGGCGCGGUGAAUACGUUCCCGGGCCUUGUACACACCGCCCGUCAAGCCAUGAAAGCCGGGGGCGCCUGAAGUCCGUGUCCGCAAGGGUCGGCCUAGGGCGAAACCGGUGAUUGGGGCUAAGUCGUAACAAGGUA
rnacentral:rRNA from 1 species